AACGAACGCUGGCGGCAGGCCUAACACAUGCAAGUCGAGCGCACCCUUCGGGGCGAGCGGCGGACGGGUUAGUAACGCGUGGGAAUGUACCCUUUACUACGGAAUAGCCUCGGGAAACUGAGAGUAAUACCGUAUGUGCCCUUCGGGGGAAAGAUUUAUCGGUAAAGGAUCAGCCCGCGUUAGAUUAGAUAGUUGGUGGGGUAAUGGCCUACCAAGUCUACGAUCUAUAGCUGGUUUUAGAGGAUGAUCAGCAACACUGGGACUGAGACACGGCCCAGACUCCUACGGGAGGCAGCAGUGGGGAAUCUUAGACAAUGGGCGCAAGCCUGAUCCAGCCAUGCCGCGUGAGUGAUGAAGGCCUAGGGUCGUAAAGCUCUUUCGCCUGUGAAGAUAAUGACGGUAGCAGGUAAAGAAACCCCGGCUAACUCCGUGCCAGCAGCCGCGGUAA
rnacentral:rRNA from 1 species